rnacentral:rRNA from 1 species
UACGUAGGGGGCAAGCGUUGUCCGGAUUUAUUGGGCGUAAAGAGCGUGUAGGCGGCUAGGUAGGUCCGUUGUGAAAACUCGAGGCUCAACCUCGAGACGUCGAUGGAAACCAUCUAGCUAGAGUCCGGAAGAGGAGAGUGGAAUUCCUGGUGUAGCGGUGAAAUGCGCAGAUAUUAGGAAGAACACCCGUGGCGAAGGCGGCUCUCUGGGACGGUACUGACGCUGAGACGCGAAAGCGUGGGGAGCGAACGGG